UGGGGAAUAUUGCACAAUGGGGGAAACCCUGAUGCAGCGACGCCGCGUGAGCGAUGAAGGCUUUCGAGUCGUAAAGCUCUGUCCUAUGGGAAGAUAAUGACGGUACCAUAGAAGAAAGCCCCGGCUAAUUACGUGCCAGCAGCCGCGGUAAUACGUAAGGGGCGAGCGUUGUCCGGAAUUAUUGGGCGUAAAGAGUGCGUAGGCUGCAAAUUAAGUCAGAUGUGAAAACUAAGGGCUCAACCCAUAGAUUGCAUCUGAAACUGAUAUGCUUGAGUCAAGGAGAGGAAAGUGGAAUUCCUAGUGUAGCGGUGGAAUGCGUAGAUAUUAGGAGGAAUACCGGUGGCGAAGGCGACUUUCUGGACUUGAACUGACGCUGAGGCACGAAAGCGUGGGGAGCAAACAGG
rnacentral:rRNA from 1 species